rnacentral:rRNA from 1 species
UACGGGGGGAGCAAGCGUUGUUCGGAUUUACUGGGCGUAAAGGGCGCGUAGGCGGCCAGUGCAAGUCAGCUGUGAAAUCUCCGAGCUUAACUCGGAAAGGUCAACUGAUACUGCUCGGCUAGAGUGCGGAAGGGGCAACUGGAAUUCUUGGUGUAGCGGUGAAAUGCGUAGAUAUCAAGAGGAACACCUGCGGCGAAGGCGGGUUGCUGGGCCGACACUGACGCUGAGGCGCGAAAGCUAGGGGAGCGAACGGG